rnacentral:rRNA from 1 species
GACGAGCGCUGGCGGCGUGCUUAACACAUGCAAGUCGAACGGAAAGGCCCUGCUUUUGUGGGGUGCUCGAGUGGCGAACGGGUGAGUAACACGUGAGUAACCUGCCCUUGACUUUGGGAUAACUUCAGGAAACUGGGGCUAAUACCGGAUAGGAGCUCCUGCUGCAUGGUGGGGGUUGGAAAGUUUCGGCGGUUGGGGAUGGACUGGCGGCUUAUCAGCUUGUUGGUGGGGUAGUGGCUUACCAAGGCUUUGACGGGUAGCCGGCCUGAGAGGGUGACCGGCCACCUUGGGACUGAGAUACGGCCCAGACUCCUACGGGAGGCAGCAGUGGGGAAUAUUGCACAAUGGGCGGAAGCCUGAUGCAGCAACGCCGCGUGCGGGAUGACGGCCUUCGGGUUGUAAACCGCUUUCGCCUGUGACGAAGCGUGAGUGACGGUAAUGGGUAAAGAAGCACCGGCUAACUACGUG